rnacentral:rRNA from 1 species
UACGUAGGGUGCAAGCGUUAAUCGGAAUUACUGGGCGUAAAGCGUGCGCAGGCGGUUAUGUAAGACAGGUGUGAAAUCCCCGGGCUUAACCUGGGAACUGCAUUUGUGACUGCAUAGCUGGAGUACGGCAGAGGGGGAUGGAAUUCCGCGUGUAGCAGUGAAAUGCGUAGAUAUGCGGAGGAACACCGAUGGCGAAGGCAGUCCCCUGGGCCUGUACUGACGCUCAUGCACGAAAGCGUGGGGAGCAAACAGG